UACAGAGGAUGCAAGCGUUAUCCGGAAUUAUUGGGCGUAAAGCGUUUGUAGGUGGCUUUUUAAGUCCGCCGUCAAAUCCCAGGGCUCAACUCUGGACAGGCGGUGGAAACUACCAAGCUGGAGUACGGUAGGGGCAGAGGGAAUUUCCGGUGGAGCGGUGAAAUGCGUAGAGAUCGGAAAGAACACCAACGGCGAAAGCGCUCUGCUGGGCCGACACUGACACUGAGAGACGAAAGCUAGGGGAGCGAAUGGG
rnacentral:rRNA from 1 species